rnacentral:rRNA from 1 species
UACGUAGGGUGCAAGCGUUGUCCGGAAUUAUUGGGCGUAAAGAGCUCGUAGGCGGUCUGUCGCGUCGGCUGUGAAAUCCCGGGGCUCAACCCCGGGCGUGCAGUGGAUACGGGCUGGCUGGAGGCAGGCAGGGGAGAACGGAAUUCCUGGUGUAGCGGUGAAAUGCGCAGAUAUCAGGAGGAACACCGGUGGCGAAGGCGGUUCUCUGGGCCUGUACUGACGCUGGAGGAGCGAAAGCGUGGGGAGCGAACAGG